UACGUAGGUGGCAAGCGUUGUCCGGAAUUAUUGGGCGUAAAGCGCGCGCAGGUGGUUUCUUAAGUCUGAUGUGAAAGCCCACGGCUCAACCGUGGAGGGUCAUUGGAAACUGGGGAACUUGAGUGCAGGAGAGAAGAGUGGAAUUCCACGUGUAGCGGUGAAAUGCGUAGAUAUGUGGAGGAACACCGAUGGCGAAGGCAGCCUUCUGGGCCAACACUGACGCUCAUGCACGAAAGCGUGGGGAGCAAACAGG
rnacentral:rRNA from 1 species